UUUCAGUUUCUGGUGCAUUUUAAGCAGACACAAGAAGGGCUACAAAGAUACACACUCAAAGACACAAGAGGCAGUUGGAUUAACCUGUGUUGAGGAUAGUGAGAAUGAAAAACAAAAAAGAUUAGCAGUUGUUAAGGAAAAACUUUUCUUGCUGUUGAGAGCUCAAAAAUAUUUGUUACCACUUACAGUGUUUUACUUUGUCAUGUACUUCACCAACCAAGGACUGCUAGAGUUAGUGUACUUCCCAGCAUCACAAAUGACACAUGCACAGCAGUACUCCUGGAGCAACACCAUACGUUGCCUUGGUACCCUUAUCUCCCGCAGUGACACACAAAUUAUUCCUUCUCUCCAGCACCUGGAUUUACUCUGGUUUGGCUAUGGUAAUCCUGGUAGUGGUAGGAAUGGAGGCACACUACCACUACCUACCAUCAGAAUACAUCAUCUUUACACUGCUUUUCCUACAGGGUCUUCUGGAAGGUGCUGCCUUCAGGUCAACAGUAUUCACUGUGCAUGAAAAGGCUGGUGACAAGGAACGAGAAUUUUGUU